GCGGCAGGCCUAACACAUGCAAGUCGAGCGCACCCUUCGGGGCGAGCGGCGGACGGGUGCGUAACGCGUAUACAAUCUACCUUUUGCUGAGGGAUAGCCCAGAGAAAUUUGGAUUAAUACUUCAUGGUAUUAUUGAUAGGCAUCUAUUAAUAAUUAAAGGUUACGGCAAAAGAUGAGUAUGCGUCCCAUUAGCUAGUUGGUGAAGUAACGGUUCACCAAGGCAACGAUGGGUAGGGGUCCUGAGAGGGUGGUC
rnacentral:rRNA from 1 species